UAGGGAACCGUGGUUACAGAAAAAUCAAUCCCAUCUUACUUCCUAAAAUGCCUUCAUUUUCCUCCAGGAGGCUCAGUGGGGCAGAUGGGAACAAAAUUCCAAGUUUCAUACCAUGUGCUUCUUUGUAAGCCACAUAUAUGGUCUGCAGUUCUGUGCUACUUACAACCCCGAAAAGCAGACAGGUUCCAGAACGGCUCUGAGGAAUGCAUAUCUCCGUGACCACUCAUGAAAGGAGAGGGGAGAUUCUUGGGGAGGCUGUAUACCCACCAUGGGAGUAUAUGUCUACCUAACCUUUGGGAUUCAGCCGGCCUAACGGAAGGACAAAAUCUGCUGCUCCACCAGCCAUAGGCUGGUUCAUAUACCAGAACAACAGAAAAUCUUGGCCAAUUUUGACUGAACCACCAUCGACAGAUGAGGAGAACCUAAGUCAACUUGAGAGAAGCACCGGGUUUGAGGCUGGGAAGACAAAUGAUCACGAAUAUUUUGUAGUAAAGGAGGGACCUCUUAGUUGCAAGAUGAAUGAAUUCCGGGGAUCUAAUGUACGGCAUGGUGGUUAUAGUUUCUAGCACUGUAUUGUAUACUUGCAAUUCACUGAGAGUAUAUUGUAAGUGUUAUAAAAAAAUACUUGUAACUGUGUGAGGUGAUGGAGGUGUGAAUUAACUAGCUUGUGGGAAUCAUUUCACAAUGUCUACAGAUAUUAAACCAUCACAUGGUACACUUAAAAAAAUCACAUUGUACAACCUAAACAUAUAUGGUUUUUAUUUGUCAAUAAAAAUGGGAAAAAUAAAUUAAAUAAAAAAAAAAAUCUUAAGAGGGGGGAAAAAGAAUGCCCCCUUUCUAUUUUGCUGCAUAAAGAGGGAUACUAGAAGCCCAGGAAGAGGGAAGACUGGAUCAAGUAAAAUGUGAAACCAAGGCUUUUCCUGAAUUCCUCAGCAGGGUUAGUCUGAAGGGAGACUGGCUGCUUCCUCUAGAGCAGAGGUCCACACACUGCCUUCUUACCUCCAUAUGCCGUUCCAACUCUUGCAAGAGAGUGACAUACUUUUCCAGUCGCAUGAAUGGUUUGCUGAGGCUGGUUGUUAAAAUGAGGAUCCCUGGGCUGGACGCACCUUGACUUUCCAUGAAUUGUUCCAGAUCAUCACUAGCAAAAGAAUGAACAUGGUUUUGUUACUGCUUAAUGUUCCAAGUAAAGAAUUCCCAACCCAA